UACAGAGGGUGCAAGCGUUAAUCGGAGUUACUGGGCGUAAAGGGCGCGUAGGCGGUCCUGCAAGUGAGAUGUGAAAUCCCCGGGCUUAACCUGGGAACUGCAUCUUAAACUGCGGGGCUGGAGUACUGUAGAGGAUAGUGGAAUUUCCGGUGUAGCGGUGAAAUGCGUAGAUAUUGGGAGGAACACCGGUGGCGAAGGCAGCCCCCUGGGGUAACACUGACGCUCAUGCACGAAAGCGUGGGGAGCAAACAGG
rnacentral:rRNA from 1 species